UUUAAACGCAACCAUAAAUUUUCGCGUUCAACUUUGAUCGUCCGUCUUAUUUAAAUUUUUUAUAGUAUUUUUAUUGUUAUUAUAUGAUAAAACAUAAAUAGUACUUAAUAUGUGACUUAUAUUUUUUAAUUUUUUUAAAAUAAGACGGCGAUUAAAAUUGAACACGAAAACUUGGACGGAGGGAGU
rfam:Oryza sativa (indica cultivar-group) chromosome 7, whole genome shotgun sequence.